rnacentral:rRNA from 1 species
UACAGAGGGUGCAAGCGUUGCUCGGAUUUACUGGGCGUAAAGCGUACGCAGACGGUGAGAAAGGUCGGAUGUGAAAGCCCCGGGCUCAACCCGGGAACUGCAUCCGAAACCAUCUCGCUAGAGUAUGGGAGAGGGAAGCGGAAUUCCUGGUGUAGAGGUGAAAUUCGUAGAUAUCAGGAGGAACACCAAUGGCGAAGGCAGCUCGCUGGGACGGUACUGACGCUGAGGCGGCGGAAAAGCGUGGGGAGCAA